rnacentral:lncRNA from 1 species
UUAUGCAGCUCUCAGAUCUGAUGCUAAAAUUCUAAACCCAGGUAUUAAGGAAUAAUAGUGAAAAGCCCCACAGCUGAGUGGAGACAGGCUACAGCACGAGGAUGCUUCAGGGGCUACAGCCAGCAGUCAUCAGAUUAGGUCAUCAUGUUCAUCAGUGAGGAAAUGAGAUGAGGAAGUGAGAUGAGAACUAUUUUCAUGAACAACAGACAUAGGGAAGGCCAGCUAAAUCUCACUGCUUCUGUUUACCUUUUGUUGUUGUUUAGUCAUUUAGUCGUGUCUGACUCUUCGUGACCCCAUGGACCAAAGCACGCCAGGCACUCCUGUCUUCCACUGCCUCCCGGAGUUUCGCCAAAUUAAUGUUGGUAGUUUCGAGAACACUGUCCAACCAUCUUGUCCUCUGUCAUCCUCUUCUCCUUGUGCCCUGCAUCUUUCCCAACAUCAGGGUCUUUUCCAGGGAGUCUUCUCUUCUCAUGAGGUGGUCAAAGUAUUGGAGCCUCAGCUUCAGGAUCUGUCCUUCCAGUGAGUACUCAGGGCUAAUUUCCUUAAGAAUGGAUGCAUUUGAUCUUCUUGCAGUCCAUGGGACUCUCAAGAGUCUCCUCCAGCACCAUAAUUCAAAAGCAUCAAUUCUUUGGCGAUCAGCCUUCUUUAUGGUCCAGCUCUCACUUCCAUACAUCACUACUGGGAAAACCAUAGAUUUAACUAUACGGACCACCUUUGUCAGCAAGGUGAUGUCUCUGUUCCUUAAGAUGCUAUCUAGGUUUGUCUUUGCUUUUCUCCCAAGAAGCAGGCGUCUUUUAAUUUCAUGACUGCUGUCACCAUCUGCAGUGAUCACGGAGCCCAAGAAAGUAAAAUCUCUCACUGCCUCCAUUUCUUCCCCUUCUAUUUGCCAGGAGGUGAUGGGACCAGUGGCCAUGAUCUUAGUUUUUUUGAUGUUGAGCUUCAGACCAUAUUUUGCGCUCUCCUCUUUCACCCUCAUUAAAAGGUUCUUUAAUUCUUCCUCACUUUCUGCCAUCAAGGUUGAGUCAUCUGCAAAUCUGAGGUUGUUGAUAUUUCUUCCGGCAAUCUUAAUUCCGGCUUGGGAUUCAUCCAGCUCAGCCUUUUGCAUGAUGAAUUCUGCAUAUAAGUUAAAUAAGCAGGGAGACAAUAUACAGCCUUGCCAUACUCCUUUCCCAAUUUUGAACCAAUCAGUUGUUCCAUAUUCAGUUCUAACUGUAGCUUCUUGUCCCACAUAGAGAUUUCUCAGGAGACAGAUGAGGUGAUCAGGCACUCCCAUUUGUUUAAAAACUUGCCAUAGUUUGCUGUGGUCAACACAGUCAAAGGCUUUUGCAUAGUCAAUGAAGCAGAAGUAGAUGUUUUUUUCUGGAACUCUCUAGCUUUCUCCAUAAUCCAGCACAUAUUUGCAAUUUGGUCUCCGCUUCCUCUGCCCCUUCGAAAUCCAGCUUGCACUUCUGGGAGUUCUUGGUCCACAUACUGCCUAAGCCUGCCUUGUAGAAUUUUAAGCAUAACCUUGCUAGCAUAACAUUACAUUCUCCCUAAUAUAGGCUGGCCACUCCCAGCAGCUGCCUAUGUUGCUGCCUCUACAUUUCCCAAGGAAAAGCAUCACACUCUUGAUGAAAGGCAGGGCCCAGAAAGGCUCCCACCCAGACUCAGAAGAAACAAUGCCAGCCUCCUUCCGAGCUGUCACAUAGCCCUGCAUUCACAAACUUCCUCGUGAGUAAAGCAGCUCCAGAACGACACGUAAAGCCGCUUUCCAAAGGAAUCAGUCAAUAUUAGAACUGUGCGCUGGACAAAUAUUAAACACUCCUUACACAUUUCAAAAUCUUUCGAAAUGGGGAGAAAGUCAUCUUCUUCCUUGCCUGGGGAGCAAGGGGCAACGUUUCCUUUGUUUUCAAGGAGGCAAACAAAUACUGCAGUAUAUUGCUAGAAUAAUGAUUUUCAUUAACAUGAGGAAUUUUUCCAUAUGUAAGAAAGGCAAAAGCAAAUGGCACUGCUGCAAGAAAUUAAACUGGGGAUUGAAGUGGGAGGAGGGGGGAAAUAUUUAAAUCCCCUCCAUGCCCCCUUGCCAAAUAGCUUUUUUUGGUUAAGCAAUCAAAUUUUUGCUCACUCCUUUCAUCUUAAAUGCGGCUGUUAUUACGGGAUGAUUGCUUGACAUAUCAAAAAUGUGUGGAGUCAAAUGAAACGAUGCAAAGAACUAGGGGAUAUGGGUUUUAAAUAAAUAAAUACAUCAUAGCUUUUACAUGCAAUGUUUACCUUCACUGAGAUAUAUUAGGCCUUCUUAAGCAUUUUCUAUGUGAGCUAAUGCUAAAAAUCUAAUCAUUCCACCAAGAAAACCAUGCUUACAUGUGAAGAAGCAGCCCAUAGCUUGGCUAAGGUGACCAUAUAUCCUACAUCACAGAAGAUGCUCCUUUCCUUUGCAGGGAUGUCAGGUGCUCCUCUGUUUGAAGGGGCUGUCAAGUUCAAGUCCAUUUUGAAGACAAAGACCUAUGAGAAGGGAGAGAAAGGGCCUUGAAGUUGCCUGUCAACAGCACCAGAGAGCCGAUUGAGCUGGCAUCUGGCAUAAUCUUUCUAGUAUGGACCAAUGCACACAUUUUUGCAAGCAUUUUAUCCUGAUUUGUACUGCAAUUUUGAAAGUUAUUUUCACUAAUAUGUUUGUUUUUAUACACACUUUUGCCUAAUAUAUGCAUUUUUAUAAACAUUAGUGAGGAGAACCUUGAAAAAUUUGGAUUAGGGGAAAAUUCAAAAGAUGGCUGUGUUUUGAUUCUCACAUUGCUUCGGGAAGUGUGGAUUUGAGAGGGUUCACCACAACACCCUUGCACAUUCAGUCUAUAUGCUGUGCCUUGUACUAUGAUUUGGUGGUGAUUUCAGAUCAAAAACUUAGAUUCACCAUUAAAGAACCAUAAAAGCUUUUAUGCCUCUUUGCCUGGGCCUACCAGUUGGCAGUUGGGUGCAUGCUGAGUCCUCUAGCUGCUGUGACACUUGGGAAAACCUAAAAGGAAGGGCAGAACAUCUUAUUUUCAUGCAGAGGGUCCUAAAUUCAAUUCCCAGUAUCUCCAGAUGGAGCUCAAUGUAUACAGUGCUGAGCACAAUGGACCAGUGCUCUGACUCAGUAUAACAAGGAGACGAGUGGGUCUCUUAAAGCCAACAUGGUGGAUGUUCCAGGUAUGGUCUUGGGAGGUGUAGCCGGCUUGGCAGUGGCCAUGAUUGCUGUUCCAGCAGCACUGGGAGCAGUGGGUUUAACUGGAGCUGGAAUUGCAGCUGGCUCUCUGGCUGCAAAAAUGAUGUCAGCAGUGGCCAACACCAAUGGUGGAGGAGUAGCAGCGACUUCAGUCAGUCGGUGUUGCUGGGCUGUCUGUUGCUAUCAAAGCUGCAAUGAUAGCUAGUGGAGCACUGCUGUCUGCCAUCUUCCAUUAAGAAGAAGACACACAUACACAGAGGCCAUAGCUGCUUGGAAGAUUAUGCUUUGCCGUCAACCCCAUGACACACUUGACUUACUUUAAGCAAAAUGUGCUUUUAAUCAAUGCUACAUUAUUCCAACUGGCCAAAAUGUGCAAAAACAAAUAAAGCUUUGAUAAUUAAACAACAACAACC